GUGUCAUCGCUUACGGCCAUACCACCCUGAACACGCCCGAUCUCGUCCGAUCUCGGAAGCUAAGCAGGGUCGGGCCUGGUUAGUACUUGGAUGGGAGACCGCCUGGGAAUACCAGGUGCUGUAAGCUUUUCUCUUCUUUUCUUGCAUCUUUUUGCCGUGUUCUCUCUCCAAGAGGCUAGGAUAUCGGUCUUUGGGGAGCCUGGUCUUUUGCUUGGACAAAUGCAAGUGCACUUGGAGAUUAGGCUGAACAUAAAAUGAAAGAAAAAGUCAAAAAGCACAAAGAGCGGGAGGACUGAGAUCUUGUCCUAAAGUGGAGCAAAGGAGUGGAGCAUGAUGGACUGCAGAGAUAGGCUGUAAAACUAAGCUUGACUGCGUAUCCGGGUGUUUUCUUGAGCGCCGCAUUGUUCACUGAAAGUGAAAUGCUGAUUCUAAUUGAGAGAAGCACACAGGAGCAUGUUCAAAUAGCUCAUUUGGAGCCUGUGUCAUCGCUUACGGCCAUACCACCCUGAACACGCCCGAUCUCGUCCGAUCUCGGAAGCUAAGCAGGGUCGGGCCUGGUUAGUACUUGGAUGGGAGACCGCCUGGGAAUACCAGGUGCUGUAAGCUUUUCUCUUCUUUUCUUGCAUCUUUUUGCCGUGUUCUCUCUCCAAGAGGCUAGGAUAUCGGUCUUUGGGGAGCCUGGUCUUUUGCUUGGACAAAUGCAAGUGCACUUGGAGAUUAGGCUGAACAUAAAAUGAAAGAAAAAGUCAAAAAGCACAAAGAGCGGGAGGACUGAGAUCUUGUCCUAAAGUGGAGCAAAGGAGUGGAGCAUGAUGGACUGCAGAGAUAGGCUGUAAAACUAAGCUUGACUGCGUAUCCGGGUGUUUUCUUGAGCGCCGCAUUGUUCACUGAAAGUGAAAUGCUGAUUCUAAUUGAGAGAAGCACACAGGAGCAUGUUCAAAUAGCUCAUUUGGAGCCUGUGUCAUCGCUUACGGCCAUACCACCCUGAACACGCCCGAUCUCGUCCGAUCUCGGAAGCUAAGCAGGGUCGGGCCUGGUUAGUACUUGGAUGGGAGACCGCCUGGGAAUACCAGGUGCUGUAAGCUUUUCUCUUCUUUUCUUGCAUCUUUUUGCCGUGUUCUCUCUCCAAGAGGCUAGGAUAUCGGUCUUUGGGGAGCCUGGUCUUUUGCUUGGACAAAUGCAAGUACACUUGGAGAUUAGGCUGAACAUAAAAUGAAAGAAAAAGUCAAAAAGCACAAAGAGCGGGAGGACUGAGAUCUUGUCCUAAAGUGGAGCAAAGGAGUGGAGCAUGAUGGACUGCAGAGAUAGGCUGUAAAACUAAGCUUGACUGCGUAUCCGGGUGUUUUCUUGAGCGCCGCAUUGUUCACUGAAAGUGAAAUGCUGAUUCUAAUUGAGAGAAGCACACAGGAGCAUGUUCAAAUAGCUCAUUUGGAGCCUGUGUCAUCGCUUACGGCCAUACCACCCUGAACACGCCCGAUCUCGUCCGAUCUCGGAAGCUAAGCAGGGUCGGGCCUGGUUAGUACUUGGAUGGGAGACCGCCUGGGAAUACCAGGUGCUGUAAGCUUUUCUCUUCUUUUCUUGCAUCUUUUUGCCGUGUUCUCUCUCCAAGAGGCUAGGAUAUCGGUCUUUGGGGAGCCUGGUCUUUUGCUUGGACAAAUGCAAGUACACUUGGAGAUUAGGCUGAACAUAAAAUGAAAGAAAAAGUCAAAAAGCACAAAGAGCGGGAGGACUGAGAUCUUGUCCUAAAGUGGAGCAAAGGAGUGGAGCAUGAUGGACUGCAGAGAUAGGCUGUAAAACUAAGCUUGACUGCGUAUCCGGGUGUUUUCUUGAGCGCCGCAUUGUUCACUGAAAGUGAAAUGCUGAUUCUAAUUGAGAGAAGCACACAGGAGCAUGUUCAAAUAGCUCAUUUGGAGCCUGUGUCAUCGCUUACGGCCAUACCACCCUGAACACGCCCGAUCUCGUCCGAUCUCGGAAGCUAAGCAGGGUCGGGCCUGGUUAGUACUUGGAUGGGAGACCGCCUGGGAAUACCAGGUGCUGUAAGCUUUUCUCUUCUUUUCUUGCAUCUUUUUGCCGUGUUCUCUCUCCAAGAGGCUAGGAUAUCGGUCUUUGGGGAGCCUGGUCUUUUGCUUGGACAAAUGCAAGUGCACUUGGAGAUUAGGCUGAACAUAAAAUGAAAGAAAAAGUCAAAAAGCACAAAGAGCGGGAGGACUGAGAUCUUGUCCUAAAGUGGAGCAAAGGAGUGGAGCAUGAUGGACUGCAGAGAUAGGCUGUAAAACUAAGCUUGACUGCGUAUCCGGGUGUUUUCUUGAGCGCCGCAUUGUUCACUGAAAGUGAAAUGCUGAUUCUAAUUGAGAGAAGCACACAGGAGCAUGUUCAAAUAGCUCAUUUGGAGCCUGUGUCAUCGCUUACGGCCAUACCACCCUGAACACGCCCGAUCUCGUCCGAUCUCGGAAGCUAAGCAGGGUCGGGCCUGGUUAGUACUUGGAUGGGAGACCGCCUGGGAAUACCAGGUGCUGUAAGCUUUUCUCUUCUUUUCUUGCAUCUUUUUGCCGUGUUCUCUCUCCAAGAGGCUAGGAUAUCGGUCUUUGGGGAGCCUGGUCUUUUGCUUGGACAAAUGCAAGUGCACUUGGAGAUUAGGCUGAACAUAAAAUGAAAGAAAAAGUCAAAAAGCACAAAGAGCGGGAGGACUGAGAUCUUGUCCUAAAGUGGAGCAAAGGAGUGGAGCAUGAUGGACUGCAGAGAUAGGCUGUAAAACUAAGCUUGACUGCGUAUCCGGGUGUUUUCUUGAGCGCCGCAUUGUUCACUGAAAGUGAAAUGCUGAUUCUAAUUGAGAGAAGCACACAGGAGCAUGUUCAAAUAGCUCAUUUGGAGCCUGUGUCAUCGCUUACGGCCAUACCACCCUGAACACGCCCGAUCUCGUCCGAUCUCGGAAGCUAAGCAGGGUCGGGCCUGGUUAGUACUUGGAUGGGAGACCGCCUGGGAAUACCAGGUGCUGUAAGCUUUUCUCUUCUUUUCUUGCAUCUUUUUGCCGUGUUCUCUCUCCAAGAGGCUAGGAUAUCGGUCUUUGGGGAGCCUGGUCUUUUGCUUGGACAAAUGCAAGUGCACUUGGAGAUUAGGCUGAACAUAAAAUGAAAGAAAAAGUCAAAAAGCACAAAGAGCGGGAGGACUGAGAUCUUGUCCUAAAGUGGAGCAAAGGAGUGGAGCAUGAUGGACUGCAGAGAUAGGCUGUAAAACUAAGCUUGACUGCGUAUCCGGGUGUUUUCUUGAGCGCCGCAUUGUUCACUGAAAGUGAAAUGCUGAUUCUAAUUGAGAGAAGCACACAGGAGCAUGUUCAAAUAGCUCAUUUGGAGCCUGUGUCAUCGCUUACGGCCAUACCACCCUGAACACGCCCGAUCUCGUCCGAUCUCGGAAGCUAAGCAGGGUCGGGCCUGGUUAGUACUUGGAUGGGAGACCGCCUGGGAAUACCAGGUGCUGUAAGCUUUUCUCUUCUUUUCUUGCAUCUUUUUGCCGUGUUCUCUCUCCAAGAGGCUAGGAUAUCGGUCUUUGGGGAGCCUGGUCUUUUGCUUGGACAAAUGCAAGUGCACUUGGAGAUUAGGCUGAACAUAAAAUGAAAGAAAAAGUCAAAAAGCACAAAGAGCGGGAGGACUGAGAUCUUGUCCUAAAGUGGAGCAAAGGAGUGGAGCAUGAUGGACUGCAGAGAUAGGCUGUAAAACUAAGCUUGACUGCGUAUCCGGGUGUUUUCUUGAGCGCCGCAUUGUUCACUGAAAGUGAAAUGCUGAUUCUAAUUGAGAGAAGCACACAGGAGCAUGUUCAAAUAGCUCAUUUGGAGCCUGUGUCAUCGCUUACGGCCAUACCACCCUGAACACGCCCGAUCUCGUCCGAUCUCGGAAGCUAAGCAGGGUCGGGCCUGUUUAGUACUUGGAUGGGAGACCGCCUGGGAAUACCAGGUGCUGUAAGCUUUUCUCUUCUUUUCUUGCAUCUUUUUGCCGUGUUCUCUCUCCAAGAGGCUAGGAUAUCGGUCUUUGGGGAGCCUGGUCUUUUGCUUGGACAAAUGCAAGUACACUUGGAGAUUAGGCUGAACAUAAAAUGAAAGAAAAAGUCAAAAAGCACAAAGAGCGGGAGGACUGAGAUCUUGUCCUA
rnacentral:lncRNA from 1 species